rnacentral:rRNA from 1 species
CCUACGGGAGGCAGCAGUGAGGAAUAUUGGUCAAUGGGCGGAAGCCUGAACCAGCCAAGUAGCGUGCAGGAUGACGGCCCUACGGGUUGUAAACUGCUUUUAUACGGGAAUAACGCGCCUUACGUGUAGGGCUUUGCAUGUACCGUAUGAAUAAGGACCGGCUAAUUCCGUUCCAGCAGCCGCGGUAAUACGGAAGGUCCGGGCGUUAUCCGGAUUGAUUGGGUUUAAAGGGAGCGUAGGCCGCAUGUCAAGCGUGCUGUGAAAUGUCCGGGCUCAACCCGGGCCUUGCAGCGCGAACUGGCGUGCUUGAGUCCGGGGAAGGCAGGCGGAAUUCGUGGUGUAGCGGUGAAAUGCGUAGAUAUGACGAAGAACCCCGAUUGCGAAGGCAGCUUGCUGCAGCGGAACUGACGCUGAUGUGCGAAAGCGCGGGUAUCGAACAGGAUUAGAUACCCGUGUAGUC